GCCCGGGCUGCGCGGGGCGGGGGGGGGGGGGGGGGGGGCGACGCCGUUCCCAUGGCGACCGCCCCCCCGCGCUGUGGGCCGCUCGGGGCAAGGCCCAGCCGCAGGGUUUCGGGGAGGUGCCGGCUGCCGCGCCGCCAGGCCGGGCCGGGCCGGGUCGUCGCGGGCGCGCAGCGCUCGCCCUGCCCUCUCUGCCUGCGGGUGACGCAGCUCCCAAACACCGGCUUCCUCACCCGGCGCCUCCUCUGCCGCCGGUCCGGGGGCAGCGCGUCCUGCCGCCACGUCCCGUGGCGUGAUGGGUGUCACGAAAAGGGAUGCACUACGCAACAUUUUAAAAAGAUUUAUCUAAAUAAUUUGUCCUCAGUGAUUUCUGAUGCUUUGCGAAGUGUAAUUCACCUUAUCGCACAAGCACAGGCAGUGCUUACUGCUGACGCUUAUUUCAUUUAAGCGCAAAGGACUGGAAGGACCUGAUCUGCCUGAUGAGCUCCGUUUGGUACACAUGAACACUUUGCAGUGGAUGGUGGAUCUGAAGUGUUCACCCCGCACCGCAUGCACACCCACAGGAGCGCGCCGGGCUGCACAGCACUUCCUACAACUUGCAGCAACCUCUGCUAAAGGCCAGCUGAAGGACUUCAUGCCACAGACAUAAUUCUUUCUCCACAGGAAAAAAGUAGAUGGAUUCAAAGGCAUUACAUUAUGCCCAAGGUUCCUCUGGUAUGGGAAAUUCCUAGUUAGUAUGUCUCCCCGUUAAAAAAGACUACUGUUAAGAGACACAAGUUUCUAAGCUGUGCAUACAGCAAGUCUCUCUAAUGCUGUAUUUUCAUCAUAUCCUUUUCUCCCUUAAAAGCUGCCACUUGACCUCUUGCAGCAUCCUUUGGAAGUAUGGCCUCGCAAAUUCGUGUUGUUUCACUGCUGUGUAAUAUGGGAGUUCCUGAAAUAACAGGACUGGUUUUGGGUUGCAGUGGAGCUGGUCUGUGUCGCACCGUUCGUCCAUUUGGCCUGCAGAGCCGACACGUGCGGUGCUGGGGAAUUCACUCAGCAGAAAUCAUUUAUGGUCUGGUGUAGUUCAAAGCGGAGGUAUCACAUCACUUCCACCCUUGCUGCCGAAGUCAGAGAUACCUUGCAGAACGAGGCGCAGGCACGGCUAUGAUCUGCUAGAGCCUGGUGAUGGUUUCCAUCUUACUGUCCUUUACCGGUUGGUUUAGACAGCCUGAAAAAGCUGUGGCCACAGUUGUGCCAAAUGUACACUUGUUUCAUCCGGGACUGAGACCAUUACUUUAAUAAGUAAAUGAUGAGUUAGCUUUUAUACUAUUUUGUUUAUCCACCAAAACCAUCUGUGCAGUUUGAAUAUCGUUUCAUUUUCACUUGUGAUAAAACAAGAACGUGGAAAUUAUUUAGCCUUCAAAUUUUAUCUUUAUCUUUUUUGUAGGAAAAGCAAAUUUAAUAUGGCCUCCCUAAAGGGUAAUAGAUAAAUAAGAUUAGAUUUUGAAUAAAGGUUAGUAGUGUCUCUUUAA